rnacentral:rRNA from 1 species
UACGAAGGGGGCUAGCGUUGUUCGGAAUUACUGGGCGUAAAGCGCGCGCAGGCGGUCCUUCAAGUCAGAGGUGAAAGCCCAGAGCUCAACUCUGGAACGGCCUUUGAGACUAGAGGACUUGGGUACGGGAGAGGUGAGUGGAAUUCCGAGUGUAGAGGUGAAAUUCGUAGAUAUUCGGAAGAACACCAGUGGCGAAGGCGACUUACUGGACACAUAUUGACGCUGAGGCGCGAAAGCUAGGGGAGCAAACAGG